CCUCCAUUUCUUGGCAUACAUGUAGUUGUUCGUACUCAUGUGUGUAAUGUUCGGAGGAACAAUAAGACAGCGCUAUGUCUUCGGUGCCGGUAUGUAAUCUGUCAUUUGCCGGUUCUAUCCUCAAUCGCUGUUACACAC
ensembl:snoRNA small nucleolar RNA SNORA57